AUCCCUGGUGUGUAUGGAAUUUGGCUAAUACAGUUGAAGAUAGGAUUAUGCAUAACAAACAAGCAUUUUAUCUUUACAGUGGAAAUUCAACACCUAAAUUUAAAUUAUUGAAAAUUACUCCAAAAGAGUCAGCUUAAUUUUAGAGCCACCUCAAAAGCCUGAAAACAAAGUGGAAAUUCCUAACAAUAAUUAAUUCUUCCUGUUAUCAUAACCAGUUUUAACAGUGGUGUCUAAUCCAAAAACAGAAGUGUUUCAAUGUAGAACUUAAUUUUCUAUGGUUAGAUGUACUGUGGUUGAACUGUAUUGUUUUAAGUAAAAGCAUCACAGAGCUUAAUUUUUUUUUCUACAUUAUAGAUGUGGGUAAACCUAGUGCGGCCAGCACUUGUGGUCCAUCCUUAAAUGUCUGGAGAGACAGAAAAUUUUCUUUGAAUAUCUGCAGUCCACAUGGUACAGAUUGCCAUGUUAAAGACUACUCUGCAACUGAACGUUAAGCAAGUUGGCUGACAAGAUGAAUUCCACUUCAAUCUGUUCUCCCUUCAACCAAAGUGCAUGGUUCAAACAUAUACAGAAUUUCCAAUAUCCAAACCCAUGACAACUUCCAUCUAGAAGAGUAGCAGACACGUGGGAACACCAACCAGUUGCCCUUCAAAUUAUUCACUAUGCUGACUUGGAACAUUUGCCAUUCAUUUAAAGUUGCCAGGCUCUUCCCAAAAACAAUGCGUCCACUACAUGAAAUGGACUACAGUGGUUCAAAAGGGCAGCUCACAACCACCUUCAAGGCAAUAGGUUUGGGCAAUAUAGGAUGGCUUAGCUAGUGUCAUUCAAAAAAAUUUUACGAACAAAUAAAAGGCAUUAUCUCUUG